UACGUAGGUGGCAAGCGUUGUCCGGAAUUAUUGGGCGUAAAGCGCGCGCAGGCGGUCCUUUAAGUCUAAUGUGAAAUCCCCGGGCUUAACCCGGGACGUGCAUUGGAAACUGCAGAUCUUGAAUGCUUGAGAGGGUGGUGGAAUUCCAGGAGUAGAAGUGAAAUUCGUAGAUAUCUGGAGGAACACCUGAGGCGAAGGCGGCCACCUGGCAAGACAUUGACGCUGAGGCGCGAAAGUACGGGGAGCAAACAGG
rnacentral:rRNA from 1 species